GUCGAGCGGUAGAGAGAAGCUUGCUUCUCUUGAGAGCGGCGGACGGGUGAGUAAUGCCUAGGAAUCUGCCUGGUAGUGGGGGAUAACGUUCGGAAACGGACGCUAAUACCGCAUACGUCCUACGGGAGAAAGCAGGGGACCUUCGGGCCUUGCGCUAUCAGAUGAGCCUAGGUCGGAUUAGCUAGUUGGUGGGGUAAUGGCUCACCAAGGCGACGAUCCGUAACUGGUCUGAGAGGAUGAUCAGUCACACUGGAACUGAGACACGGUCCAGACUCCUACGGGAGGCAGCAGUGGGGAAUAUUGGACAAUGGGCGAAAGCCUGAUCCAGCCAUGCCGCGUGUGUGAAGAAGGUCUUCGGAUUGUAAAGCACUUUAAGUUGGGAGGAAGGGUUGUAGAUUAAUACUCUGCAAUUUUGACGUUACCGACAGAAUAAGCACCGGCUAACUCUGUGCCAGCAGCCGCGGUAAUACAGAGGGUGCAAGCGUUAAUCGGAAUUACUGGGCGUAAAGCGCGCGUAGGUGGUUAGUUAAGUUGGAUGUGAAAUCCCCGGGCUCAACCUGGGAACUGCAUUCAAAACUGACUGACUAGAGUAUGGUAGAGGGUGGUGGAAUUUCCUGUGUAGCGGUGAAAUGCGUAGAUAUAGGAAGGAACACCAGUGGCGAAGGCGACCACCUGGACUGAUACUGACACUGAGGUGCGAAAGCGUGGGGAGCAAACAGGAUUAGAUACCCUGGUAGUCCACGCCGUAAACGAUGUCAACUAGCCGUUGGGAGCCUUGAGCUCUUAGUGGCGCAGCUAACGCAUUAAGUUGACCGCCUGGGGAGUACGGCCGCAAGGUUAAAACUCAAAUGAAUUGACGGGGGCCCGCACAAGCGGUGGAGCAUGUGGUUUAAUUCGAAG
rnacentral:rRNA from 1 species